rnacentral:rRNA from 1 species
CCUACGGGAGGCUGCAGUAGGGAAUGUUGCGCAAUGGGCGAAAGCCUGACGCAGCAACGCCGCGUGAACGAGACGGCCUUCGGGGUGUAAAGGGCUGUGAGGGGGGACGAAAAAUGACGGUACCCACAGAGGAAGCACCGGCUAACACCGUGCCAGCAGCCGCGGUAAUGCGGAGGUGGCAAGCGUUGUCCGGAAUCAUUGGGCGUAAAGAGUUCGUAGGCGGCAUGUAAAGUCAGGUGUUAAAGGCGCAGGCUCAACCUGGGGAUGGCACUUGUUACUUGCAAGCUGGAUUGCGGUAGAGGUAACGGGAAUUCCUGGUGUAGCGGUUAAAUGCUUAGAUAUCAGGAGGAACAUCGGUGGCGUACGCGCUUUACUGGGCCGUAAUUGACGCUGAGGCACGAAAGCCCGGGUAGCACAUUGGAUUAGAUACCCUAGUAGUC